UUAUACAGCGAAACUGCGAAUGGCUCAUUAUAUAAGUUAUCGUUUAUUUGAUAGUGCCUUACUACUUGGAUAACCGUGGUAAUUCUAGAGCUAAUACAUGCUGAAAAUCCCGACUUCGGAAGGGAUGUGUUUAUUAGAUUAAAAACCAAUGCCCUCUGGGCUCCUUGGUGAUUCAUGAUAACUGUUCGAAUCGCAUGGCCUUGCGCCGGCGAUGGUUCAUUCAAAUUUCUUCCCUAUCAACUUUCGAUGUUUGGGUAUUGGCCAAACAUGGUCGCAACGGGUAACGGAGGGUUAGGGCUCGACCCCGGAGAAGGAGCCUGAGAAACGGCUACUACAUCCAAGGAAGGCAGCAGGCGCGCAAAUUACCCAAUCCCGAUCCGGGGAGGUAGUGACAAUAAAUACUGAUACAGGGCUCUUUUGGGUCUUGUAAUUGGAAUGAGUACAAUUUAAAUCCCUUAACGAGGAACAAUUGGAGGGCAAGUCUGGUGCCAGCAGCCGCGGUAAUUCCAGCUCCAAUAGCGUAUAUUAAAGUUGUUGUGGUUAAAAAGCUCGUAGUUGAACCUUGGGCCUGGCUGGCCGGUCCGCCUCACCGCGUGCACUGGUCCGGCCGGGCCUUUCCCUCUGCGGAACCCCAUGCCCUUCACUGGGUGUGGCGGGGAAGCAGGACUUCUACUUUGAAAAAAUUAAAGUGCUUCAGCAGGCCUAUGCUCGAAUACAUUAGCAUGGAAUAAUGAAAUAAGACGCGCGGUUCUAUUUUGUUGAUUUCUGGGACCGCCGUAAUGGUUAAUAGGGACAGUCCGCGGCAUCCGUAAUUCAAUCUUAGAGGGAAAUUCCUGGAUCGAUUGAAGACAACUACUGCGAACAUUUGCCAGGAUGUUUUCUUAAUCAGAACGAAAGUAGGGAUCGAAACAAUCAAUACCGUC
rnacentral:rRNA from 1 species